GACAGUGCAAUUGCUCUGGCAGGUGGCUCCAAGCUGGUCAGUUCAGCUUCUCCUGCUUCGUCUUCGAGCUGUCUUAAGUCAUUCAGUGGCAGUUUUUCCCGACAGUGUCAUGACUUAGGGUGAUUCAGUGCAAGAUAUGCAGAUUUGAACACCCUGCCCAGGAGGUCCUUUUGAAACAUGACCACUUGUGCCACUACCAGGAAAGAUACCGCCAACUACCCUGCCUCUACACAGAUUGCAUCUGCUCCUUUAAAACCACUGGUUGAAGUCUCACCUUUUAAGAUCACACAAGUGCUUAUCUUCACGUGAGAGUCACUUAACAUUUAAUUGUGAAUUGUGUGACUUUAAGGAAAUUUGUAAAACACCUGAUUACUGCAAACGUGUAAGCAGCCAUUUUAAAAAAUCAU